UGAGAAAAAAAGCCUUUAAUGUGUUAUUUUCAACAUCAUAGGAAAAGUAUGUCUUGAAUGAAGGUCCUUCAGCUUUACAUAGGUGAGUCUCCAUACCGUCUGCUAUAGCAAAAGCGCUCUUUGAAAACACAGUGACAGCAUGGACCUUGCUAGCAAAGCAGCAGAAAAAAGACAUUUCAGCAAUAAAUGGUUAUGCUUAGACUUCCCAUCUCCUCAAAGUCCAUACCUUCUUGACAGUUUUCCAACUUGGUAUCAGCCUCGGAUGUAAAUUUCCUCAGAGUUGGAACAAAAUCGGUUCACCUAAUUUUGAGACAGCAGGAGGAGGGAGAAGGAACAGUAUCAUAGACUCACUGCCAGGUCAGGUCACAUCUUCGACAUUGUUUCCUCAGACAGAUGAAAAGUCACAGAAAACUCAUUAAGAGUCAGGAACAAGGCUCACAAUGGCUCAGCAGUCACUGGAAGAAGUGUUCAACCAUCCACCUGAUAUCAGAUCCUCCUUCAGCCUGAUGGAAGAUGCUGAAAGCCGAUGCACCAUGAUGGAUCGACCCUUCAUGAACAACAGCUGCUCUGAUCAGCAUUUCUCAGUGGUUGUCUGCUCCACAGAGUCAAACCUACUUGAAGAGUCAGUUCUAGAUGAGUAGGUAGGGAGGCAUCAGAAGCACAGUUUUAACUGGAGGGUCAAAAAGGAAACACAACACCUCUGAAAGAGAAGCUAAGAACCAGAACGGAAUUUGGUUUUCUCUAGCUAUAGACUUGAGUUGUAUAUUCAGCAGACUGACACCAGCUUAUCUCCAGCUGAGUUACUGAGCUAUUACAGUCAAACAAGUGCCUUAAAUACAAGCUUUGCUUCUGACUUCUGUUUGAGACUGAGUGGCAUAUGACUUGAAUUCAUAUUAGCUUUUAUUCAUGAGGAUAGGUGUGGCGUGAUGUUCCUUAAAUUACACGAGACAAGCUUCUUCCACCAUUGUUAACCAUUCAUUCCCAUGUUAGGUGGUCCUAUCUCUGGAAAACUAUCAAUGGCUAGGAGUUGUCAGAACAGUUGUCACUGUUCCUUCUCUAUGCAAGUGCCACCACAACUCAGUCCCCGCUGAAAUCUGCCCAUGCUGGUGAUGCAGGAUGGAGCAACAGAACUGCUCUGCAGCACAAUGUUCUACAUUCAUCAAAGUAAAGAUCUACAGUUUAUUAGUGCGUGUGGCUCCUCUGCAAAUUGCCCAAUGCCAGAAAUAUUACAACAGUUUCAAGAGAAAGGACUGUCUAGUUCUUACCUGACUGGGCCCUCAUUUACUUUAUUUGUAGCAUUGCCCAGAAACAUAAUUUUAUGAUCUGGGUUCUUAGUGUAUGCUGCACCAGCUGUCCUCCAUGUGCCUGUAUAUUUUUUCUUUCUAUUAGCCAAUAUAAGUCAAGUUGGAAAAAGAUGGAAGUCCUCAGAGUGUAUAGUUUAUUUGCCAACCCAUGCUCUCUCCAAGGCUUCUCCUAGGUUACAGGCACAGAACUAGGAGCUAAGGUUCCUUGAUCCUCUGGUUUCAUCACACACUAAACUGCUGCACAGCACUGUCCACAUCUAUGACGCAGUAUAUUCCAUUCAUUUUAUUUCUCCAGCCUGACCUCAUGUGCUGGCAGGCCUGGCUUUUGAAGAAGUUGAGCUGCAAGUAGUUUAGCACCAGAAGACCUACAAACUGAGUGAUUUGUCCCAUUGCAGAAGCUUUAAAAACAAUAAAGAAACAAUUAAUGGUGGUAUCUUCAAGAACCACUAGUGUUGCCAGGACAGGUGGAAGUUUUUCGCUCAGUUAUAUCCUACUCAAGGAGCCACCUGACAGAAGGAAUGGUAACCUGAAAAAGUUGUUGGGCAAAUUGUUUUAACAGCUCCUAUUUAAGAAAUAAGACAAAAAGGAUCAGGAAAAAAAAAUAAACAAGUAUUCUUGCUCUGUUCCUAUAACGUUUACAUAUUGUGCCUGCUGCCCUGGGGUAGAAUGUCAUUUUUAUGAACAGAAGUCCGUAUUUUAAGAUAUGUCUGUCUUGCUUGAGUUGGAGUGUGCUUGCUUAAAGUGCAGGAUUUAAAAAAAAAAAACAAAAAAACCCACAACUUUUUAUUUUUGUAAAGUUAUAGAAAAUAUUUUUCCUCUUAAACUAUGUUCCAGAUUAAACUGCUGGGGAAGUUUAAGCACUUGUUAAACUAUUGAUUGAAAUAAAAAAGCCUAACUGAAAAAUUAAGGAUUUCUUUGCCUCCUAUACUUGUUAGUUUUCUGCACUGUGGACUUAAUACCUGUACGAAAAAAUGACAGAUGUCCCAGAAAGCGAUAACCAAAAAUCCCUCUCUUGAGUAAUUUGUGCACAGAAAAGCUCAUUUCUUACUACAUACACAAGAAAACAUCUUUUCUUGAGAACAAAUCACUAGAAACAGCUCUGAUGGGCACAGCUGGGAUGCUUUGGGUUUCACAGCACAUCUUCAUGUUCUCUGAAUAAAAUGGGGGUUGGAAUUGCCCAGUGCGUAAUGAUGGUGGUAGCUUUUAAGGAGAGCACGGUCAAAGCAGCUGUGUCAUGACAAAGGGUGUACUUCAACAGAAACCAAGUAUUUUUCAUAAAUGAGAUGUAAGCAAACCAACCAGCAUUACUGCUCUACUGUUGCAUCUCACUUGCUUUAAUGGCUACAACCUGGGAGAGGGAGCAGGGAGGGAUCAGAAAGGACACUUUUCUUAAACAGGAAUUAAAACCCGAAAUGAACUGAGAAGGGAGAGCAAGCCACAGGAUAACAAAAGCAUCUUUCCUCAGUGCUGUGCAGUUUCACCCCUGCCUAACUUGCAUACAGAGAGAAGAUGUGAAAUGCAGACUGUGAGACUUCUAUCACCACCACCACAGGCUUUGGAGUUGAGGGACUUCUGAGUGACUCAGGAGAUCCCUGAAAGAUGAGCUUGGUUUGCAGGAAGCAUGCCCUAAAUUACAAGGUACUCCGAAUGCUGUAGCCACAGCCUGUGAAGAAAUGACCUCCCUUCC
ensembl:lncRNA